rnacentral:tRNA from 1 species
GACCGAAUGGCGUAGUGGUUAGUGACCCUGACUACCGAGCCGAUGGUCCCGGGUUCGAUUCCCGGCUGGGGCU